GGCGCGGCGCGAGGCUCGGCGGUGGGAUCCGGCGGGCGGUGCUAGCUCCGCGCUCCCUGCCUCGCUCGCUGCCGGGGGCGGUCGGAAGGCGCGGCGCGAAGCCCGGGUGGCCCGAGGGCGCGACUCUAGCCUUGUCACCUCAUCUUGCCCCCUUGGUUUUGGAAGUCCUGAAGAGUUGGUCUGGAGGAGGAGGAGGACAUUGAUGUGCUUGGUGUGUGGCCAGUGGUGAAGAGAUGGCUGCUCCUGUCCCAUGGGCCUGCUGUGCUGUGCUUGCUGCCGCUGCCGCAGUUGUCUACGCCCAGAGACACAGUCCACAGGAGGCACCCCAUGUGCAGUACGAGCGCCUGGGCUCUGACGUGACACUGCCAUGUGGGACAGCAAACUGGGAUGCUGCGGUGACGUGGAGGGUAAAUGGGACAGACCUGGCCCCUGACCUGCUCAACGGCUCUCAGCUGGUGCUCCGUGGCCUGGAACUGGGCCACAGUGGUCUCUACGCCUGCUUCCACCGUGACUCCUGGCACCUGCGCCACCAAGUCCUGCUGCAUGUGGGCUUGCCGCCGCGGGAGCCUGUGCUCAGCUGCCGCUCCAACACUUACCCCAAGGGCUUCUACUGCAGCUGGCAUCUGCCCACCCCCACCUACAUUCCCAACACCUUCAAUGUGACUGUGCUGUGGCAUGGC
rnacentral:lncRNA from 1 species